rnacentral:tRNA from 2 species
AUCUAUAUAAUAUAAAAAGUAUAUUUGACUUCCAAUCAUAAAGUCUAUUAAUAAUAGUAUAGAUA